CGGCGGACGGGUGAGUAACGCGUGGGUAACCUACCCUGUACACACGGAUAACAUACCGAAAGGUAUGCUAAUACGGGAUAAUAUAUUUGAGAGGCAUCUCUUGAAUAUCAAAGGUGAGCCAGUACAGGAUGGACCCGCGUCUGAUUAGCUAGUUGGCGGGGUAACGGCCCACCAAAGCGACGAUCAGUAGCCGACCUGAGAGGGUGACCGGCCACAUUGGGACUGAGACACGGCCCAA
rnacentral:rRNA from 1 species